rnacentral:rRNA from 1 species
CCUACGGGUGGCAGCAGUGAGGAAUAUUGGUCAAUGGGCUUACGCCUGAACCAGCCAAGUCGCGUGAGGGAAGACUGCCCUAUGGGUUGUAAACUUCUUUUGUCAGGGAGUAAUGGGCGCUACGUGUAGCGUUAUGUAGAGUCCCUGUAGAAAAAGCAUCGCCAAACUCCGUCCCAGCAGCCGGGGAAAUCCGGAGGUUGCGAGUGUUAUCCGGUUUUAUUGGGUUUAAGGGGUACGUAGGGGGCAUGCCAGGUCAGCGGUAAAGUCGCGGGGCUAAACCUCGCUCCGCCGUUGAUACUGGGGUUCUUGAGUGGGCGAGAGGUAUGCGGAAUGCGUGGUGUAGCGGUGAAAUGCAUAGAUAUCACGCAGAACUCCGAUUGCGAAGGCAGCAUACCGGCGCCCAACUGACGCUGAAGCACGAAAGCGUGGGUAUCGAACAGGAUUAGAUACCCCGGUAGUC